rfam:Treponema brennaborense DSM 12168, complete genome.
CGCAGGGUAGAGCAGAUGGCAGCUCGUCGGGCUCAUAACCCGGAGGCCGUUGGUUCAAGUCCAACCCCUGCUA